CUGCAGCCCGAGUGGUGAUCGAUUUUAUUGAGCCUAAAGCGUCCGUAGCCGGACUAGUAAACCCUUGGGUAAAUUGGGCAGCUUAACCGUCCAAAUUCCGAGGGGACUGCUAGUCUUGGGACCGGGAGAGGUCAGAGGUACUCAAGGGGUAGGGGCUAAAUCCUGUAAUCCUUUGGGGACCACCAGUGGCGAAGGCGUCUGACUAGAACGGAUCCGACGGUAAGGGACGAAACCCUGGGGCGCGAACCGGAUUAGAUACCCGAGUAGUCC
rnacentral:rRNA from 1 species